rnacentral:rRNA from 1 species
ACAGAUACUGACACUCAGAUGCGAAAGCGUGGGGAGCAAACAGGGAUUAGAUACCCUGGUAGUCCACGCCGUAAACGAUGUCUACUUGGAGGUUGUGGCCUUGAGCCGUGGCUUUUCGGAGCUAACGCGUUAAGUAGACCGCCUGGGGAGUACGGUCGCAAGAUUUAAAACUCAAAUGAAUUGACGGGGGCCCGCACAAGCGGUGGAGCAUGUGGUUUAAUUCGAUGCAACGCGAAGAACCUUACCUACUCUUGACAUCCAGAGAACUUAGCAGAGAUGCUUUGGUGCCUUCGGGAACUCUGAGACAGGUGCUGCAUGGCUGUCGUCAGCUCGUGUUGUGAAAUGUUGGGUUAAGUCCCGCAACGAGCGCAACCCUUAUCCUUGUUUGCCAGCACGUAAUGGUGGGAACUCCAGGGAGACUGCCGGUGAUAAACCGGAGGAAGGUGGGGACGACGUCAAGUCAUCAUGGCCCUUACGAGUAGGGCUACACACGUGCUACAAUGGCGUAUACAGAGGGCUGCCAACCAGCGAUGGUGAGCGAAUCCCAGAAAGUACGUCGUAGUCCGGAUUGGAGUCUGCAACUCGACUCCAUGAAGUCGGAAUCGCUAGUAAUCGUGAAUCAGAAUGUCACGGUGAAUACGUUCCCGGGCCUUGUACACACCGCCCGUCACACCAUGGGAGUGGGCUGCACCAGAAGUAGAUAGCUUAACCUUCGGGAGGGCGUUUACCACGGUGUGGUUCAUGACUGGGGUGAAGUCGUAACAAGGUAACCAAGGG